AGUUAGCUCCGUUUUGGUAAGCUAACUUUAGCUAAAGUUUAGCUAGCGCUUCUUAACAUAACGUUACUGCCUGAUGACGUAAUUUAACGUCUUUUGGUGAACUUUACUCAGUUACUCUUAUGUCGUGUAACUACUUCGCCAAGCGGACAUUUUGUGCACAUUUUCAGGCUGUUCUUAUAUUAACUUUACCUUAAUAAUAACUUCUCACAGAGCUUCUCUCCUGGGUGUAUUCAACAUUAUGCAGAAGCUAGCUUGACAUUUUGCAAGAUGCUGUAACAGGCAUCUCGCAGGUGUAGCUCCCUUGUGUGGCCGGCAGUCUGAACUGGGUCUGCAAGGGAUCGGGCUUCCUUCAGGGUGUGUUUGAUCUCCACCACCUGCUUACCUCUCACAAGAGGGUCUUUGCUCAGAUCUGGUGUAAAGAGAGGGAGAAAAUGCAGGAGCUGGGUGAACUUUUCAAUAGCGGCAACCAUCUCCUCCUUGGUGAGAUCCAGGAGGGAAACAACUCUGAAGCCGAGCUGCUGCAGGAGAGUGUCACCAGUCUUGUCCGGCAGUGGCUGUCCAUUUCUGUACCACUGAUAGUGAGGAGUGGGGAUGCCAAAGGCAGUGCAGCGGAGGGUGAGUUUCGUACCUUGUCGGACUGUCUGGGGUUUAGGAUUGACAGC